UCAAGUGAAGAAGCGCAUACGGUGGAUGCCUUGGCAGUCAGAGGCGAUGAAAGACGUGGUAGCCUGCGAAAAGCUUCGGGGAGUCGGCAAACAGACUGUGAUCCGGAGAUGUCUGAAUGGGGGAACCCAGCCAUCAUAAGAUGGUUAUCUUGUACUGAAUACAUAGGUGCAAGAGGCGAACCAGGGGAACUGAAACAUCUAAGUACCCUGAGGAAAAGAAAUCAACCGAGAUUCCCUUAGUAGUGGCGAGCGAACGGGGACCAGCCCUUAAGUUGUAUUGAGAUUAGCGGAACGUUCUGGAAAGGACGGCCAUAGUGGGUGAUAGCCCUGUACGCGAAAAUCCCUUUGCAAUGAAAUCGAGUAGGACGGGGCACGAGAAACCUUGUCUGAAUAUGGGGGGACCAUCCUCCAAGGCUAAAUACUACUGACUGACCGAUAGUGAACCAGUACCGUGAGGGAAAGGCGAAAAGAACCGCGGAGAGCGGAGUGAAAUAGAUCCUGAAACCGUAUGCGUACAAGCAGUGGGAGCCCACUUUGUUGGGUGACUGCGUACCUUUUGUAUAAUGGGUCAGCGACUUAUUUUCAGUGGCGAGCUUAACCGAAUAGGGGAGGCGUAGCGAAAGCGAGUCUUAAUAGGGCGUCUAGUCGCUGGGAAUAGACCCGAAACCGGGCGAUCUAUCCAUGGGCAGGUUGAAGGUUGGGUAACACUAACUGGAGGACCGAACCGACUACCGUUGAAAAGUUAGCGGAUGACCUGUGGAUCGGAGUGAAAGGCUAAUCAAGCUCGGAGAUAGCUGGUUCUCCUCGAAAGCUAUUUAGGUAGCGCCUCAUGUAUCACUGUAGGGGGUAGAGCACUGUUUCGGCUAGGGGGUCAUCCCGACUUACCAAACCGAUGCAAACUCCGAAUACCUACAAGUGCCGAGCAUGGGAGACACACGGCGGGUGCUAACGUCCGUCGUGAAAAGGGAAACAACCCAGACCGUCAGCUAAGGUCCCAAAGUCAUGGUUAAGUGGGAAACGAUGUGGGAAGGCUUAGACAGCUAGGAGGUUGGCUUAGAAGCAGCCACCCUUUAAAGAAAGCGUAAUAGCUCACUAGUCGAGUCGGCCUGCGCGGAAGAUGUAACGGGGCUCAAACCAUGCACCGAAGCUACGGGUAUCAUCUUAUGAUGAUGCGGUAGAGGAGCGUUCUGUAAGCCUGUGAAGGUGAGUUGAGAAGCUUGCUGGAGGUAUCAGAAGUGCGAAUGCUGACAUGAGUAACGACAAUGGGUGUGAAAAACACCCACGCCGAAAGACCAAGGUUUCCUGCGCAACGUUAAUCGACGCAGGGUUAGUCGGUCCCUAAGGCGAGGCUGAAAAGCGUAGUCGAUGGAAAACAGGUUAAUAUUCCUGUACUUCUGGUUAUUGCGAUGGAGGGACGGAGAAGGCUAGGCCAGCCUGGCGUUGGUUGUCCAGGUUUAAGGUGGUAGGCUGAGAUCUUAGGUAAAUCCGGGAUCUUAAGGCCGAGAGCUGAUGACGAGUGUUCUUUUAGAACAUGAAGUGGUUGAUGCCAUGCUUCCAAGAAAAGCUUCUAAGCUUCAGGUAACCAGGAACCGUACCCCAAACCGACACAGGUGGUUGGGUAGAGAAUACCAAGGCGCUUGAGAGAACUCGGGUGAAGGAACUAGGCAAAAUGGCACCGUAACUUCGGGAGAAGGUGCGCCGGUGGAGGUGAAGCAUUUACUGCGUAAGCCCCUGCCGGUCGAAGAUACCAGGCCGCUGCGACUGUUUAUUAAAAACACAGCACUCUGCAAACACGAAAGUGGACGUAUAGGGUGUGACGCCUGCCCGGUGCCGGAAGGUUAAUUGAUGGGGUUAGCGCAAGCGAAGCUCUUGAUCGAAGCCCCGGUAAACGGCGGCCGUAACUAUAACGGUCCUAAGGUAGCGAAAUUCCUUGUCGGGUAAGUUCCGACCUGCACGAAUGGCGUAACGAUGGCGGCGCUGUCUCCACCCGAGACUCAGUGAAAUUGAAAUCGCUGUGAAGAUGCAGUGUAUCCGCGGCUAGACGGAAAGACCCCGUGAACCUUUACUAUAGCUUUGCACUGGACUUUGAAUUUGCUUGUGUAGGAUAGGUGGGAGGCUUUGAAGCGUGGACGCCAGUCUGCGUGGAGCCAACCUUGAAAUACCACCCUGGCAACUUUGAGGUUCUAACUCAGGUCCGUUAUCCGGAUCGAGGACAGUGUAUGGUGGGUAGUUUGACUGGGGCGGUCUCCUCCUAAAGAGUAACGGAGGAGUACGAAGGUGCGCUCAGACCGGUCGGAAAUCGGUCGUAGAGUAUAAAGGCAAAAGCGCGCUUGACUGCGAGACAGACACGUCGAGCAGGUACGAAAGUAGGUCUUAGUGAUCCGGUGGUUCUGUAUGGAAGGGCCAUCGCUCAACGGAUAAAAGGUACUCCGGGGAUAACAGGCUGAUACCGCCCAAGAGUUCAUAUCGACGGCGGUGUUUGGCACCUCGAUGUCGGCUCAUCACAUCCUGGGGCUGAAGCCGGUCCCAAGGGUAUGGCUGUUCGCCAUUUAAAGUGGUACGCGAGCUGGGUUUAGAACGUCGUGAGACAGUUCGGUCCCUAUCUGCCGUGGACGUUUGAGAUUUGAGAGGGGCUGCUCCUAGUACGAGAGGACCGGAGUGGACGAACCUCUGGUGUUCCGGUUGUCACGCCAGUGGCAUUGCCGGGUAGCUAUGUUCGGAAAAGAUAACCGCUGAAAGCAUCUAAGCGGGAAACUUGCCUCAAGAUGAGAUCUCACUGGAACCUUGAGUUCCCUAAAGGGCCGUCGAAGACUACGACGUUGAUAGGUUGGGUGUGUAAGCGCUGUGAGGCGUUGAGCUAACCAAUACUAAUUGCCCGUGAGGCUUGACCAU
rnacentral:rRNA from 1 species